AGUGAACGCUGGCGGUAGGCCUAACACAUGCAAGUCGAACGGCAGCACAGAGGAGCUUGCUCCUUGGGUGGCGAGUGGCGGACGGGUGAGGAAUACAUCGGAAUCUACUCUGUCGUGGGGGAUAACGUAGGGAAACUUACGCUAAUACCGCAUACGACCUACGGGUGAAAGCAGGGGAUCUUCGGACCUUGCGCGAUUGAAUGAGCCGAUGUCGGAUUAGCUAGUUGGCGGGGUAAAGGCCCGCCAAGGCGACGAUCCGUAGCUGGUCUGAGAGGAUGAUCCGCCACCCUGGAACUGAGACACGGUCCAGACUCCUACGGGAGGCAGCAGUGGGGAAUAUUGGACAAUGGGCGCAAGCCUGAUCCAGCCAUACCGCGUGGGUGAAGAAGGCCUUCGGGUUGUAAAGCCCUUUUGUUGGGAAAGAAAUCCAGCUGGUUAAUACCCGGUUGGGAUGACGGUACCCAAAGAAUAAGCACCGGCUAACUUCGUGCCAGCCGCCGCCGUAA
rnacentral:rRNA from 1 species